rfam:Anaeroglobus geminatus F0357 genomic scaffold Scfld25, whole genome shotgun sequence.
UUAUAUCUUCAGGGCAGGGUGAAAUUCCCGAUCGGCGGUACAGUCCGCGAACGCCAUGCGUAGAUUCGGUGCAACUCCGAAACCGACAGUAUAGUCUGGAUGAGAGAAGAUAGAG